UUAUUGUCAAGUUUUUUUAUUUGAUUAUUAUGAUGCAUUUAUUUCUUCUACUUUUGGAACGCAGAAAAAUUACUUGUUCCUAAUAUUAAACCAGGUAAUAUUCUUUUACAAUUGUACGUGUUCCUUUAUAUGGAGAGGUAAUCUUCUUUUGCAAUUGUACGUGUUCCUUUAUACUAAUCCCAUGAAUUUAGUCGGUUACAACAUUAUAAUGUAUUGAUUCACUAAUAAAUUAGCUUCCCUCUCCCUCGAGCCAAUUCAUGUCUCCUUCUUUAAUCCAUCUUUCCUCUCCUUUAGGCCAGACUCUUGUUGAUCCCCAUUGCAAUCCACACAUGAUGUUGUAGUUCAGCCUACCCCUACUACUUCAAACCACGAUCUCCUUGUUGAGGAGGUGUGUUGUGAUACUACUAGAAAGGUCAUCACAAGUGGGAAAGAUUGGACACCUAAUUAUUAAGUAGUUAGCAUACAGUUAAGGCACAACUUAGAGGCCUUGCACUACUAUGACUUUAUGAAGGAGGAUGACAAACUUAGAUGGUGGGCUGAUUUUAAGAUGAGUGUAAUUACUAAUUUCAAUCAAUUCUAAUUUUAUCAUUAUUCAUCACAUCAUAUAUCUUUCCAUUUGUUGUUUACUUUUACAAGCUAUAAUGAUUUCGGUGCCUCGGGAUGAAUAGAAAAUUAAAAAGGUGUAUGAGUCAAAAGUUAGAAAACGCAUAGGUGAUUUACUGUCCAAAGCAAGGAUGGAGAAGGCCAAACCUUCCAGAAUGGGAGAAGAAACAUGGGAUGAACUUUUGAUAUAUUGUGAUUCUCAUAAGUUUAGAGAAAGAUCAUAUCAAAACAAACUGAAUCAAUCUUCCAAUAAAGGUAGAACAUUGUGAUCUACUGACUGCAAAUAUUACUUUGCCAUAGCACCGAGCCUAGAAUGUAAAUAUGAUCGACGUAUUGAGCUGGAUGAACUAUUUCUCGCCACUCACACUAAAAAGAAUGGUGGUUGGUAGAUGGUUGCACACAUGCGACUUAUGUAAGUUAUUGUUAUAAUUUACUUAUUUUACUUAUUUCUUUAAUAUUAUUUGAUAGCAAUUGUCCCUUUUACUAAUUUAUUAGGAAAAGUGUCAUGGACCAUUGAGGGUCAUCCAAACAAACACUUUCAAAAGAUCAAGUUUUGAACUCUAGCAAGCAUCGGCUGAGGCAACAUUACAUAAUAAAUUUAUUUAAAUUUUAAUUACAAGAGAUGCUUAAGCUCACACUACAUAUCAUAUUACCGACAAAUAUUCUAGUUAAAGAUGCUUCAUAGACACUAAUCAUAUAUUAAAAAUUAAAUUAUUUAAUUGUAUAACAAGAGUCUAACUCACAUUUGUAAAAAUAUUAUUUUAAAAAAUAAAA